AACGCACAUUGCGCCCUCUGGUAUUCCGGGGGGCAUGCCUGUUCGAGCGUCAUUACACCUCUCAAGCUCAGCUUGGUAUCGGGUCUUCGCCCCUCGUGGACGGGCCUAAAAAAUCAGUGGCGGUGCAACCGGUCCUCAAGCGUAAUAGCAUGAAUAUCCCGCUUUGGAGUGACCGGGUGGACCUGCCAGACAACACCUCUAUAUUUCAAUGGUUGACCUCGGAUCGGGUAGGGAUACCCGCUGAACUUAA
rnacentral:misc_RNA from 1 species